rnacentral:rRNA from 1 species
AGACUCCUACGGGAGGCAGCAGUGGGGAAUAUUGCACAAUGGGCGAAAGCCUGAUGCAGCGACGCCGCGUGAGGGAUGAAGGCCUUCGGGUUGUAAACCUCUUUCAGCAGGGAAGAAGCGCAAGUGACGGUACCUGCAGAAGAAGCGCCGGCUAACUACGUGCCAGCAGCCGCGGUAAUACGUAGGGCGCAAGCGUGUCCCGGAAUUAUUGGGCGUAAAGAGCUCGUAGGCGGUUUGUCGCGUCUGGUGUGAAAACUCGAGGCUCAACCUCGAGCUUGCAUCGGGUACGGGCAGACUAGAGUGCGGUAGGGGAGACUGGAAUUCCUGGUGUAGCGGUGGAAUGCGCAGAUAUCAGGAGGAACACCGAUGGCGAAGGCAGGUCUCUGGGCCGCAACUGACGCUGAGGAGCGAAAGCAUGGGGAGCGAACAGGAUUAGAUACCCUGGUAGUCCAUGCCGUAAACGUUGGGCACUAGGUGUGGGGCUCAUUCCACGAGUUCCGUGCCGCAGCAAACGCAUUAAGUGCCCCGCCUGGGGAGUACGGCCGCAAGGCUAAAACUCAAAGGAAUUGACGGGGGCCCGCACAAGCGGCGGAGCAUGCGGAUUAAUUCGAUGCAACGCGAAGAACCUUACCAAGGCUUGACAUGCACGAGAAGCCACCAGAGAUGGUGGUCUCUUUGGACACUCGUGCACAGGUGGUGCAUGGUUGUCGUCAGCUCGUGUCGUGAGAUGUUGGGUUAAGUCCCGCAACGAGCGCAACCCUCGUCCCAUGUUGCCAGCGGGUUAUGCCGGGGACUCAUGGGAGACUGCCGGGGUCAACUCGGAGGAAGGUGGGGAUGACGUCAAAUCAUCAUGCCCCUUAUGUCUUGGGCUUCACGCAUGCUACAAUGGCCGGUACAAAGGGCUGCGAUACCGUAAGGUGGAGCGAAUCCCAAAAAGCCGGUCUCAGUUCGGAUUGGGGUCUGCAACUCGACCCCAUGAAGUCGGAGUCGCUAGUAAUCGCAGAUCAGCAACGCUGCGGUGAAUACGUUCCCGGGCCUUGUACACACCGCCCGUCAAGUCACGAAAGUCGGUAACACCCGAAGCCCAUGGCCCAACCGUUCGCGGGGGGAGUGGUCGAAGGUGGGACUGGCGAUGGACUAAGUCGUAACAAGAGCC